rnacentral:rRNA from 1 species
CAUUACAGAGUUAUCUAACUCCCAAACCCAUGUGAACUUACCAUUGUUGCCUCGGCAGAACCUACCCGGUACCUACCCUGUAACGACCUACCCUGUAGCGAGUUACCCGGGAACCGUGCCGUCUGGUAGGGCUGCCGGUGGACUUCUAAACUCUUGUUAUUUAUAGUAAUCUGAGCGUCUUAUUUUAAUAAGUCAAAACUUUCAACAACGGAUCUCUUGGUUCUGGCAUCGAUGAAGAACGCAGCGAAAUGCGAUACGUAAUGUGAAUUGCAGAAUUCAGUGAAUCAUCGAAUCUUUGAACGCACAUUGCGCCCAUUAGUACUCUAGUGGGCAUGCCUGUUCGAGCGUCAUUUCAACCCUUAAGCCUAGCUUAGUAUUGACCGCCUACUGUAUUGUAGCGGCCCAAAUCCAACGGCGGAUCUGUGGUAUCCUCUGAGCGUAGUAAUUUUUAUCUCGCUUUUGUUAGGUGCUGCAGCUCCCAGCCGCUAAACCCCCCAAUUUUUAAUGGUUGAC